rnacentral:lncRNA from 1 species
CAAGGGGUAAGGGACUAGGGGCCAGGUGCUGUUUUAGCCUCUCAAAAUGAUAUAUUCACAAAAUCUAGCUUCUCAAUUUUUUUGUGGUUCUAGUAGCAGUGAGGGGCUAGGGGCUAGGAGCUAGGGGCUAAAACUCAAAACUUAUUAUUUUAGUUUAUUAUUAUUUUAUUUGUGAUAAAAAUCAAAGCAUAAGAAAAGCAACACAAAAAAUUUGAGCAAAAAGACAAACACUUAUUUUUCUUCAUUUUCAUUUAAUUUUGUAGUUACUAAAAAAAGAUAUCUAAGUGUUGGAUUUUGAAGUAUAAAGAUAAGUAUAUGUGAGAAGAAGAUGAAGAUGAAAGCCUAUUUAUUGAGGUUUGAAUGUAGAAAUGUAAAGAGAAUAAACAAGUAAAAGGUUUGAAGUAUAUUUUUUUUUUAAAAGAAAAGAAAAGGUAAAAAAAGGCUCAACUAGCUGUUGAAAAAUAGAAAGGAAAAAAAGCACUAAAAAAAAAUUAAAAAUCCAAGCAACUAGCCAUUAGGCAAUAGUCAUUGAAGGAGCCACAUGAUAGAUCCUCAUAUUUAAGGACCCGCCCCGAAUUUUCUCAAAAUCCGAGACGAACUCUUUGGAAUUCCUGACAUCACCCCGAUGUCAGGCCCACUUACUAAAAACCGAGACUUCCUGCCGAAAUUUCGGCAGAGUCUCCCCUAUAAUUUGG